rnacentral:rRNA from 1 species
AGGAUGAACGCUGGCGGCGUGCCUAACACAUGCAAGUCGAACGUCCUUCUUCUUCGGAAGAAGGGAGUGGCGGACGGGUGAGUACCACGUGGGUUAUCUACCGUGAGGUGAGGAAUACCGGCGAGAAAUCGCCGACAAGACCGCAUAGGCUCGAUGCAAGUCGAGCAAAGCUCGCUCGCAAGAGGGAGCGCCACACGAGGAGCCUGCGCCCGAUUAGCUGGCUGGUGGAGUAAUGGUUCACCAGGGCGACGAUCGGUAGCUGGUCUGAGAGGACGAUCAGCCACACUGGGAUUGAGAACGGCCCAGACUCCUACGGGGGGCAGCAGUGAGGAAUUUUCGUCAAUGGGGGCAACCCUGAACGAGCAACGCCGCGUGCAGGAAGAAGGUUUUCGGAUCGUAAACUGCUUUUCUCGGGGAAGAGAACGGACGGUACCCGAGGAAGAAGCCCCGGCUAACUACGUGCCAGCAGCCGCGGUAA